rnacentral:rRNA from 1 species
CGAAGGAUGCAAGCGUUAUCCGGAUUCAUUGGGUUUAAAGGGAGCGUAGGCGGCCUUAUAAGUCAGUGGUGAAAUCUUUGGGCUUAACCCAAAAAAUUGCCAUUGAUACUGUAGGGCUUGAGUACAGUUGCUGUGGGCGGAAUAUGACAUGUAGUGGUGAAAUACAUAGAGAUGUCAUAGAACACCGAUUGCGAAGGCAGCUCACAAAACUGUAACUGACGCUGAGGCUCGAAAGUGCGGGGAUCAAACAGGAUUAGAUACCCUGGUAGUCCGCACUGUAAACGAUGAUUACUCGCUGCUGGAAGGUAACUUUCAGUGGCUUAGCGAAAGCGAUAAGUAAUCCACCUGGGGAGUACGCCGGCAACGGUG